AUCGCCCUGUGGUGAAAUUUCGAAGCCGUUCGAGCAGCGUCGUGUCGCGGUCCGGGACUGUCCUCAGUCCCGGGUCGUCUCGGCGCGGUUCCGAGCGGUCGCUCCCUCGCGAGGUGCCGCGGGUCAGCGGCUGACGCCAGCCACCUUCCCGACCCGUCUUGAAACACGGACCAAGGAGUCUAACAUGUGCGCGAGCCGCGGGGCAGUACGAAACCCGUAAGGCGAAAUGAAGGUGAACGCCGGCGCGGUCCGGCGGAGGUUGGAUCCCGUCCCGUCGGGGCGGGCGCACUACCGGCCGAUCUUCUCCGCCCUGUCGGCGAGGUCGAGCGAGAGCGUGCAAGUCGGGACCCGAAAGAUGGUGAACUAUGCCUGAGGAGGUUGAAGCCAGAGGAAACUCUGGUGGAGGACCGUAGCGAUUCUGACGUGCAAAUCGAUCGUCAAAUUUGGGUAUAGGGGCGAAAGACUAAUCGAACCGUCUAGUAGCUGGUUCCCUUCGAAGUUUCCCUCAGGAUAGCUGGCGCUCAGUCGCAGUUUUAUCUGGUAAAGCGAAUGAUUAGAGGUCUUGGGGGCGAAACGCCCUCAACCUAUUCUCAAACUUUAAAUUGGUAAGAAGCCCGACUCGCUCGUUUGGAGCCGGGCAUGGAAUGCGAGUGCCAAGUGGGCCACUCUUGGUAAGCAGGACUGGCGAUGCGG
rnacentral:ncRNA from 1 species